rnacentral:lncRNA from 1 species
GCUUAAAAAUCACUUUCAAGCCAGUGGGCACAUGUGUCACGCGAUACAUCUUAUUCUGCUCUACCUUGGCCAGUGCUUCCACUGCACUG